UACGAAGGGGGCUAGCGUUGUUCGGAGUUACUGGGCGUAAAGGGCGCGUAGGCGGCCCUCCAAGUCGGGCGUGAAAGCCCACGGCUCAACCGUGGAAUUGCGCUCGAGACUGAAGGGCUCGAGGACGGGAGAGGAUGGUGGAAUUCCCAGUGUAGAGGUGAAAUUCGUAGAUAUUGGGAAGAACACCGGUGGCGAAGGCGGCCAAUCUGGACCGUAUCUGACGCUGAGGCGCGAAAGCGUGGGGAGCAAACAGG
rnacentral:rRNA from 1 species